GGGUUAGGGUUAGGGUUGGAGUUAGGGUUAGUGUUGGAGCUAGGGUUAGGGUUGGGCUUGGAGCUAGGAUUUUUCUGAGUGCACUGAACCAACUCCCGAGUCUCUAGGACAUUCCUAAAAAAAUUUGAUUUUUUCCCAUAGGAAUGCAUGGGUUAGGGUUAGGUUAGGGUUGGAGCUAGGGUUAGGGUUAGGGUUAGGGUUGGAGUUAGGGUUAGUGUUGGAGCUAGGGUUAGGGUUGGGCUUGGAGCUAGGAUUUUUCUGAGUGCAAUGAACCAA